CGCCUAUAAAUUACGAGCCCCCCUCGAGUAUUUUCUCCACCGAUCGCAUAGUGAUAGCUUACGCCCGCUUCAAGGAAAAGAAAACCGAGAUCCAAUCGUCUCGAUCGUCAAGAAGGUAGAACAGUUAAAUAUUUUGGAUUGCUGGAGAUAAUGUUGCAUGAUGCGAAAAGUGGCAGCCACUUGAAUGGAGAGGAUCCAUCCUUAGAGAGCAGAAUAUUCGACAAAUGAUUUUGAACCAGAUGGUGUUACUCAAUCUCCAUCACCUAGCAUUACUUCUCUUGCUGCCUAUGCUCCCAUCAUUUAUUAUUUUUUUGACCGGGAAAAGCAGCAGAAUGCUCCCACCAUACCUGCUGAAGAUACUGAAAUAUCCUAGUUAAUCAAACAUCAGAAUCUCCCUCGCUGGAUACUCAUCCUUCCACAUCAGAAAAUACAAUGAACCUGAGUAUUGAUGAUCAUUAUGCACUACUGAAUAACAUGUGCCUUUCUUCGAUGGAAGGAAAGGAAAUUGAGGUUGGGGAACUUCUGUCACAUGUGGAAGCAUUGCAACGAACUUGAAGAAUUGAAGGAGAAGAUUACCCGCGAAUAUGUUGAAUAUUGUCUGCUUGUUGAGAAACUUGGCAUGUUAAAGAAGAAAGCGAACCAGCUUCCGAUGGAAACAUCCAGAAUAGGUAUUGCAACGUGAUA